rnacentral:rRNA from 1 species
UACGUAGGGUGCAAGCGUUAAUCGGAAUUACUGGGCGUAAAGCGUGCGCAGGCGGUUAUGCAAGACAGAUGUGAAAUCCCCGGGCUCAACCUGGGAACUGCAUUUGUGACUGCAUGGCUAGAGUACGGUAGAGGGGGAUGGAAUUCCGCGUGUAGCAGUGAAAUGCGUAGAUAUGCGGAGGAACACCAGUGGCGAAAGCGACUUCCUGGACCAGAACUGACGAUCAGGCACGAAAGCGUGGGGAGCAAACAGG